GAUGAACGCUGGCGGCGUGCCUAAUACAUGCAAGUCGAGCGAACAGACGAGGAGCUUGCUCCUCUGACGUUAGCGGCGGACGGGUGAGUAACACGUGGAUAACCUACCUAUAAGACUGGGAUAACUUCGGGAAACCGGAGCUAAUACCGGAUAAUAUAUUGAACCGCAUGGUUCAAUAGUGAAAGACGGUUUUGCUGUCACUUAUAGAUGGAUCCGCGCCGCAUUAGCUAGUUGGUAAGGUAACGGCUUACCAAGGCGACGAUGUGUAGCCGACCUGAGAGGGUGAUCGGCCACACUGGAACUGAGACACGGUCCAGACUCCUACGGGAGGCAGCAGUAGGGAAUCUUCCGCAAUGGGCGAAAGCCUGACGGAGCAACGUCGCGUGAGUGAUGAAGGUCUUCGGAUCGUAAAACUCUGUUAUUAGGGAAGAACAAAUGUGUAAGUAACUAUGCACGUCUUGACGGUACCUAAUCAGAAAGCCACGGCUAACUACGUG
rnacentral:rRNA from 1 species